UGUGCUGCUGGUGCAGCAGCCCUAAGGCCCAUGACCUGGUCUCGUUCUCUCCGGAAGGGGCUGCGCGGCCCAUCCUGGGUGGCCUCGAGUUGCCAGGCUGGGGUGUGUGUGUCCUGCAGCCUGCGGUCGCUCAGGCGCUGGUCUGUCGUUUAGACAGCCCCUAGUCCUGGCUCUCGUUAGCACCAUUACUUAGCCCUAGGGGCUUUGGAUCCCCUUUGGGCUGUUGCCGUUGCCCUUGUGGCUGCUCCCAUGUCAUUUCUCAUAAGUAGCUUGCACUGGAAAUGAGUGAGAAGAUUGGGACUAGUGAUAACACAUUAACAGAACUUUGCAGCAGUUGCCCAGGCUGUUGUGUGGUGUUGAGUAGUACAACACCAGCAUUCCUUCACAGAUGACAAUUCUCUUUGAUUGGGGAGCAACUGCUGAAGCACUUUCUUCAUCAUUCCCCGCAAUCCUGAUGAGCUCCUCAAGUGAUGAGUUUGGACUGUUCCUUGCUGGGAAGGAGAAGAGUCUCUGUUCCAGUGGCCACCCUUGGAAGUGAUUCUUGUUUUCAAGUUACUGGCCAUUGCAGCUGGGUUAAGAUUUUUAUCACAAAUGCAAGAAGGGAUCAUGGACCCUUGGUUUUGAUGAUGAGAGCAAGGAGCAGCGAUCCAGCACCUGUCUGGAUAAUGCAGAUACUUUGUAUGUCAAACUAAAUAAUGAUGCCUCAUCAACUAAAAGAAGCUACAGCCUGCGUUAGGGGGAGAACUGUUGUUAGGUGUCCUCGAGGUACAACAAGCGAGAAGCGGUUUGGUCGCUCCUGCACUUCCUCUGUGGGUCACAAGAUGGGGUACGAAUACUCAGAAAGAUGAUUGUCCAAGUAACGCAUUCAGCAGUGAAACACCAUCUUAACACUGUAUUUUGCUGAGGCACUGUAAUAAUUCUUGCUAGCACACAAACAGAAUUUACUAGAGGUAGUAGUUAUUAAAUGUUACUUUCCAGGAGUCAUAUUCAGAAAGUUUAUAAGAGGUAUGAGUAAAUUCAGAUGUGCAAUUUCAGUAAUUUACAGCUUGUGUUGGCUAUAGUGAGGAUUCAGUUCCUUACUGCAGCCUCUGCACCUCCAGCAAUCACAGCUACCAGAUCCAUGAGGAGGGAUAUGGAAGCAUUUUUCAAAACUGAAGCAUUCUACAGAUGACACAUUUCUUUUUAAGCAGGAAAUAGUGAGUGAUGGUGCUCUCCUGGGCCUGUGCUUUGCCAGAUGCACACUGAUUCAUUGGUGGCUGUUGCUCACUAUACCCAUAAAUAGGAAGUGCCCUUGGUUUUGGCUUAGAGAACA